rnacentral:misc_RNA from 1 species
AUAUUCAGUACCAUGCACAUUAAAGAGGUGGAUAUAAUGCAUGGCUGGUACUGAAUAGCACAUUCCUUCUUCCUAAAUCAGUUUUUACCUUCUUCUGUCAAGCUUUGAAGUACUGAUCAUCUAAGAAAAGUUGCCUCUUUAUAUCUUUGUUUGCCUUGUGUGAUAUACUUCAUCUCACCAUGAACGUGUGUUUAAUAAGUUCGUGAUCUCACCACUGUUGUUUUCAACUAUGUUUCGCAGUUUUGAUUGGCACAAUACAUAAUGUUCAUUUGUUUCAAAGUUUACUUUCAAACAAACACCAAGACAAAAACGUUUUGAGUCGGAUACAAAUUUUCUCCUUCAGUUCAUUAAAGGCAGUUUGUUAACGGCUUGCAAUUUCCCAUCCUACAAUUCUGUUAAAUCUACUUCAUUACUUUCUCAAUCAUCAAGCAAGUUUUUUUUUUUUUUUUAGUGUUUGUAUGCUUUUAAGUCACAGACCUGAUUCGUUAUUGCUAUAGUUCAGAGGUUCUUACUUUACUGAGCUUCAAAUAUAAACGUCUAGAUUUUACAGUAAAGCGGAAACUUUAGAAAUAUACGAAAUAUCUAGAGUAUGGCAAAUGACAGACAAAGUCUUCAUUGAUAGUUUGGAAGUUGGUAGACCAAAUACUCUGCAGGGUGGUUGGUCAUCGGAGAUUUCUAGUCGAGAACCUGAAAAUAGUCCAUGCUGCCAUCUAAACACGGAGCUCGCUCCCCGGACAAAGGGACACUACUCCUUUGCGACCAAAGUUAAGCAGACGACAAGUACAGAUAAGAUUUAGAAGCCUAUGAAUACAUUCACAAAAUCGUAUUGUUCUUCUACUUCAACAUGGAAUCUUUUCUUGGAUGUUAUAACGAGAAAAACUAUGCAGACAGGGAGGAAACAUUGAAAAAAGUGGAAAUGGUCUGCCUAGAAGUUGUAUUAUCUAUCGCCCGAGGAGAAUUUCCUAAACUCAGAUUUUGCAACAGAGCCAGCUGGGAUAAUGUUAGUUUCAGUGAAAAUGGAGCAGUUAACCUACCAGAAGUCAAGAAAAUGGUGCAAAUACGGCUGGAUAGUAAACGAUCAAUAAAAACAUUUGCAUUCAUGAUGAAAGUUUUGAGCAUCAUAUACAGACUUCUUCAAGAAAACAAGUACUGCACAAAGAGGGACAUAUAUUACCAGUAUCCAGGUCUCUUUGGAUCUCAGUCAGUGGUUGACAAUCUGAUUGACAAUAUUGCUUGUAUGCUUGAGGUUCCAAGAUGGAAACUGCAUGUGCUGGCAACAUGUAAAGGUCUUGUAGCAGGAAACCUUCAGUUUUAUGAUGAAUAUGGCCACCACAUUGACUGUAACAAGACAAAAAUGGGAGUUCAGAUUCCAGCUCAUGAGAAAGACAUGCUAUACAUGCAUUCAGGGGCUCGUUUUGUCUUGAUUGUGGAAAAGGAUGCCACUUUUCAGAAACUACUUACUGACAACCUAUGUGAAAAUUUUUUUGCCAAGAUUAUCAUCAUCACUGGUAAGGGUUUUCCUGACAUAGGUACCAGACUGUUGGUUCAUAAACUGUGGGAAACAUUCCACCUGCCCACCUUUGCUUUGAUGGAUGCAGACCCGCAUGGUAUUGCCAUAAUGCUGGUGUAUAAGUAUGGUUCAAAGGCACAGGCUUUUGAGAACCACCAUCUUGCAGUUCCUGCUAUCAAGUGGUUAGGCAUUCUUCCCACUGAUAUACCAAGGUACAGUUUCCAGGUCAUUGUUUCUGGUAGUUUGAGGCCUGCUGGUUUCAGUCAGAUUAGCUAUUGAGGAGAAUACCAUCAUACAACAAACAGAGGAGGACUUGCAAAAUCUUUUGGGCAUGCUGAAUCGCCCCUACAUUCUCAUUAACCGAAAAAUAUCCGAGCAGAUUGAGACCAUGAUACAGCGUGGCGUGAAAGCAGAACUGCAAUGCUUGGACUCUAUCCAUCCAUCAUACCUCACCAACAUUUACCUCCCCGGCAAGAUUCAGUCCCAAGACUGGAUCUAGGUAUGUGUUUGAAAUCUAAAAUUUUUAAACACACAUUGGUUUUAUAUAUAUAUAUGGGGCAAUAUUUUACAUGACUUGCAUAAUUUUGCGAACAUGAUAGCCAUUUUGUUUUAUGCAAAACAGGAACUGUGAAACUUGCUUUAUCUAAAAUUGUAAAGAAAGAGUUGCUUAAAUACAUAAACAAUUACCAAUGAAGUUGAUAUGUAGACAGAAUUAUCUGCUAUCAAGGCCAAUAUUAAGCAGCAGAGGUCAUCAGAUACACAAGCACUAUUAAGCCUUCAAUGUUGCUUAUCAUCUCAUAUAUUCAAGACCUAGAACUGCUUUCACAAACACUUUGCAGAUCAUAAGAAAUUACCAGUUUACCAUUUCAGGAAAAAAGCUCUCUUCAAUCAAGGAAAGUAGUCCCUAAUAUGUUUGACAACGUAAAAUCUCU